AGAGUUUGAUCAUGGCUCAGAACGAACGCUGGCGGCGUGCUUAACACAUGCAAGUCGCGUGCGCAGUUCCGUAGCAAUACGGGAUGGGCGCACGGCGCACGGGUGCGUAACACGUGGGCAAUCUGCCCUCUGAUGGGGAAUAACCCGCCGAAAGGCGGGCUAAUUCCGCAUAAGAUUCCCGGAACUUCGGUUCUGGGAUUGAAAGCAGUAAUGCGUCGGAGGAGGAGCCCGCGCCCGAUUAGCUAGUUGGUGAGGUAACGGCUCACCAAGGCAAUGAUCGGUAGCUGGUCUGAGAGGAUGAUCAGCCACACUGGAACUGAGACACGGUCCAGACUCCUACGGGAGGCAGCAGUGGGGAAUCUUGCACAAUGGGCGAAAGCCUGAUGCAGCGACGCCGCGUGGGGGAUGAAGCAUUUCGGUGUGUAAACCCCUUUCGACUGGGAAGAAUACCUCGCAAGAGGGGUGACGGUACCAGUAGAAGAAGCCCCGGCUAACUACGUGCCAGCAGCCGCGGUAAGACGUAGGGGGCCAGCGUUGUUCGGAAUUACUGGGUGUAAAGGGUUCGUAGGCGGUGCGGCAAGUUGGGAGUGAAAUCUCUGGGCUUAACCCAGAGGCUGCUUCCAAAACUGCUGUGCUCGAGUGUGAGAGAGGCUCGUGGAAUUGCAGGUGUAGCGGUGAAAUGCGUAGAUAUCUGCAGGAACACCCGUGGCGAAAGCGGCGAGCUGGAUCACUACUGACGCUGAGGAACGAAAGCUAGGGGAGCAAACAGGAUUAGAUACCCUGAUAGUCCUAGCCCUAAACGAUCAGGACUUGGGGUGCCGCCCGUUCGGGCGUCGUCCCGGAGCUAACGCGUUAAGUCCUGCACCUGGGGAGUACGGUCGCAGACUGAAACUCAAAGGAAUUGACGGGGCCCGCACAAGCGGAGGAACAUGUGGUUCAAUUCGACGCU
rnacentral:rRNA from 1 species